rnacentral:rRNA from 1 species
AUUGAACGCUGGCGGCAGGCCUAACACAUGCAAGUCGAGCGAGAGGCGGACGGGUGAGUAAUGUAUGGGGACUGCCCGAUAGAGGGGGAUAACUCCUGGAAACGGUGUCUAAUACCGCAUACUAUCGGAUAACCCAUAUGGGAUUAGCUAGUAGGUGGGGUAACGGCUAACCUAGGCGACGAUCUCGAGCUGGUCUGAGAGGAUGAUCAGACACACUGGAACUGAGACACGGGUCAGACUCCUACGGAGGCAGAAGUGGGGAAUAUUGCACAAUGGGGGAAAGCCGUAUGCAGCCAGGCCGCGUGUGUGAAGAAGGCCUUAGGGUUGUAAAGUACUUUCAGCGGGGAGGAGUUACCAGCAGAAGAAGCACCGGCUAACUCCGUGCCAGCAGCCGCGGUAAUUC